rnacentral:rRNA from 1 species
GCUGACGCAGGCGGCGUGCCUAAUACAUGCAAGUAGAACGCUGAAGCUUGGUGCUUGCACCGAGCGGCAGAGUUGCGAACGGGUGAGUAACGCGUAGGUAACCUGCCUCUUAGCGGGGGAUAACUAUGGGAAACGAUAGCUAAUAACGCAUAAAAGUCGGCAUUGCAUGAUGUUGACUUGAAAGGUGCAACUGCAUCACUAAGAGAUGGACCUGCGUUGUAUUAGCUAGUUGGUGAGGUAACGGCUCACCAAGGCGACGAUACAUAGCCGACCUGAGAGGGUGAUCGGCCACACUGGGACUGAGACACGGCCCAGACUCCUACGGGAGGCAGCAGUAGGGAAUCUUCGGCAAUGGACGGAAGUCUGACCGAGCAACGCCGCGUGAGUGAAGAAGGUUUUCGGAUCGUAAAGCUCUGUUGUAAGAGAAGAACGAGUGUGAGAGUGGAAAGUUCACACUGUGACGGUAACUUACCAGAAAGGGACGGCUAACUACGUGCCAGCAGCCGCGGUAAUACGUAGGUCCCGAGCGUUAUCCGGAUUUAUUGGGUGUAAAGCGAGCGCAGGCGGUUAGAUAAGUCUGAAGUUAAAGGCUGUGGCUUAACCAUAGUACGCUUUGGAAACUGUUUAACUUGAGUGCAGAAGGGGAGAGUGGAAUUCCAUGUGUAGCGGUGAAAUGCGUAGAUAUAUGGAGGAACACCGGUGGCGAAAGCGGCUCUCUGGUCUGUAACUGACGCUGAGGCUCGAAAGCGUGGGGAGCAAACAGG